rnacentral:lncRNA from 1 species
AGCUGUUCAUAUGACAUACUUUAUUUCCAAUCUACAACCAUUAAAAACCCUUUGUAAGUUUACACUGUACAGUUAUUCUCAUGUCUGAAAUAAGACACGGGAGGGAAGGAGAGCUGGCGGACUGGACCACGGUUGUCUAGCACCCAAUACCUCCUGGGAAGGAGCCUUCUGAAGAAAGGAGUAGGGAGGAGAAAGAUGGGGCCAAUAUUUUGCAUUUCUGUCAAGUUCCCAGGUGAUGCUCUGGCUUCUUUGAGAACCUCCAGGCAUCUCAUCCUCAGCAACUUGGUACCCUAAGAAGACAGUGCCAGGGAGCUGGGCCACAGCUGCCAAGGCCCUGCCUUAGAGGCACCAAAUUGGGAAGCUGCUGGGAACAGACUUGUGGUGAGCCCCCUGUGCAGAGAAGUAAACUAAGGCACAGAGGUCAGUGGCGGAGCUGAGAGAGGAGCCAGGAUACCAGGGCCCAGUGGACAGAGGAUGGUGAUGCAGGACCCAAAAACAUGAGGCGUGCUCUGGGGUCCCUAGGGAUCAUCUUCGUAAAAUCAUACAACCAACCAAACACAGAGAAGUUAGGACAACUGCCCAGACCUGGGCCAGGUCUCCAAAAUCCUAGCUGAAAUUCCUUUUCACAGGAGCAGUUCGAGUGGUAUAGAGUGGAGAAAGACAAGAUGGUCAGGCCUUGAUGACUUUGGCCCUUCAAGGAUGCUUAGGGGAAACCAGAGCUCCUUUCCUUACUGCCUGGGGUUCAGGGAGCUGGUGAAGGGCAGGAAAGGAGGGGAGCAAGGCUGAUGGGGUAGACAAAGGAGGGUCCAAGGACGGUGUGGGGAAGGGUAGGGUGGGGCAGCCCUAGACAAGGGGUCACCUUGUCACCAGUUCCCUUUGGUUCUUGGCUCUGUGGACUUUGCAAACUGCAAAUACUACGGAAGGGAUAAGGGGUAAUGCCAGGGUGGGCUACAGGUUCCGCCAGGGCAAGCUAUUCAGAGGCAGAGAGAUCCAGGGGAGGGUAGAGAGGAUGGUGGGAUGUCACAUGGACAGGCAGAUGGACGGACAGAUGGCCAGGGAGAGGAGGGAAGAACCCAAGUCAGGCUGCAUCUGCUUUACAAAUAAGGCUAUGGAGGACUGGGCAGGAUAGGGGAGGCCAAAAUGGGGGUCCCAGUGACCUCCGCCAAAUCCCAGUGGAUAGUGCUGGGGUCCUGUCGGGAGGCUGUGGACAGAAGAAAAUGGGACUCAAGGGUGAGAUGGGGGUGUCUUUCUGGGCUGGGGGCGGUCACUGGGCCAAGCCCAGCCUGAGGCAUCGAGGAAAGGUUCCCCCUUCAGUGUGAGAAAACAAAACAGAACCCAGGAAAUACAAUCAGAUCUGAAAGCAAACAUCAGGAGUUGGGAGACCACAGACACGGGAGGAUGGGGAUGUGAGCCUGAAGGGCCAGGAAAUCCACAGGAGGCCAUUCUGGGAGGGCUGAAGGGGGUGGGUGCUACAAAGAAGCCCGGGGCUCAGAAGAGGAAAACCUGGCCAUGGGUCAGGGCCACUCGGUCUGCUGGUGGGAAUCAGUCAGAGAAGAGGCGGCAGGAGGGGAGGCUUUGGAGGAAGGUGAUUAAACAAAGGAUGGAUGGGUGGUGGGAAGCAAACAGGCUGAGCCCAGAGAGAAGACAGGGUUCAGCCAAGAUCAGGGAAUGGUAGGUGGGGUCUCACUCACCCCCGGGAAUGCAGAACCUGCUGGGAGUCAGGAAACCUGAAUUCUGGUCCUGACUCUGCCUCCAGUUUGCUGUGUGACCUUGGGUGAGGAACUCCCUUCUCUGGGCCAGUUCCUCAUCCAAAAAAGUGAGGGGUUUGACAAAAAAGGACCAACACUGUGUGAUUCCACUGGGAAUACUUAGAACAGGUAAAUUCAUAGGGACAGAACGUGGAAUAGCGGUUAUCAGGGGCCUGAGGGAAGGAUGGGGAGUUACUGUUAGUGGGUACAGAGUUUCAGUUUGGGGUGAUGAAAAAGUUCUGGAAAUGGAUAGUCCUGAUGGUUGUACCACUGUGUGAAUGUAUUUAAAGCCACUAAAAGGGCUAAAACAGUAAGUUUUAUAUUAUGUAUUUUGGGCCACAAUUUUUUAAAAAGUGAGAGGACUGGUCCAAUUUAUUAGCCUUUCCACUCACUAAGACUAGUGAGGGCACUAGGGGACAAUGAGUGUGAUCAGGCCACUUUAGGUCAGUGCAGAACCUCAUGUUUGCCCACGUAGACUCAGGCACAGUAUUGUAUUUGGUCCUCAGCACUGCCAUGUGAGUUAGGAUUUCUUCCACUUUGCAGCUGGAGGAACAGAGGCACAGACUAGCCACAUGCUCUGGGGUCAAGGUCAUUCAAGUCAGUGGCAGUUUAUUAUUAUCUUUAAAAUCAGUUCAGUUCAGUGACCUGGAAAACAUCCUUGCAUUUUAGGUUCAUACCACAACUGACUUAGUGGCCUUUGAAGAAAGGACGCAUGCUCUAAAUUAGCAUAAGAAUUUGCCUCCUGGGGCAAAUAUUGUCACUUCCCAUGACUGGAUGAUGAGAGUCGUGAAAGUUGAUGUGCUCCCCUUUUCACCAUGGCUGCCAGGAAACUCCAGAGUAAAAUUUAAUUGCAGGAUUAUGGGGAUCAUGUCAGAUAGAUAUAAGUGUGUGUGUGUGCGCACGCGCGUGUGCACGUGCUCUUAGUUGCUCAGUUCUGUCCGACUCUUUGCAACCCCAUGGACUGUAGUCCUGCAUGCUCCUCUAUCCAUGGGAUUUUCCAGGCAAGAACACUGCCUGGAGUGGGUUGCCAUUUCCUCCUCCAGGGGAUCUUACCAACCCAGGGAUCAAACCCAUAUCUCCUGCGCUGGCAGGAGAAUUCUUUACUCACUGUGCCACCUGGGAAGAUAGAUUUGGGGAAUGAUAAUUCCUCUUGCCUUUUGCCCCCCCCUUUUUUUUUUCCUGUUGUCUUACUGAACUUCACGAUUAGGAUUGUAAAUUGCCUCCAGUGCUUUUUGGAAAUUCUCAGCAUAAUUAACCCAAAUCAGAGCUGGGUUGAGGACCAGGUCCCCUAAUUCUCAGCUCAAGGCUCUUCUAAAGAUAUAACACCGUGGUUAUUGGGCUUAAAAAAGAUGGCCUAAUUGGAGAUGGUGAAGGACAGGGAAGCCUGGCGUGCUGCAGUCUAUGGGGUCACGAAGAGUCAGACAUGACUGAGCAACUGAACAACAAUGGUCAAGGCUGUGAACAUCAAUGGUAUGCACUGGUAUUUAGGAUCUCUCUGGGAGUUUGUUAGAUAUGCAGAUUCCUGGCCCUCUGGGGUGAGGUGGGGGCCAAGAAGCUGCAUUUUGGACAUGUCCACAGAGGAUUCUGAUGCAGGGGUCCCCACACCACCCUCUGGGACACACAGGUCCAGAGAUUCAGGGUAGACUGGUUUUAUGUCUGGGUUGGGCAGUGGCAUAGUCUGGGUAUUCUGCACCCACACAAAGCCCCCAGUGGAGCAGUAGGUUAACACAG